UGUUGAAAAUUGAAGAAACAAGAAGAAAUAGGAAUCAGACAUUUAUGUUGGAAUUUUAAGUUUAGUCUAAUCUAAGUAACUGAUAAGCAAGUGAUUAUGAUAUGUAAGUCCAUUUGUAAGGUUGCUUUGGCCAUUGGAAUCCACUCUUCCCUUCACAAGCUAUAGAUUCUGAGAUGUUCUUAGGUUCCUUUUUGCAGCUGCUGUUGGGGUCUAGUUAGGUGCUAACAAUUAGGACAUAUCGAUUGGAAAAAUUCAACUUCUUUAGCCUGGUUUUACCCGGAAUAAACAGUAGGGGAAAAGUUGUGUACAGAAGAUGGAUAUAAUCUUUAUUGCAUAGCUUUCUUGUGGGUAAGCUGACUUGCAAGGAUUUUAUAUAGCUAAGCUUUAUUAGGUUCUUGACUUCAAGCUGUCUGAAAAGAAGUGAACACUUGAGCACAGGGAUGGAAGGGCAUUUGACAUGGCAGUACCUCGAAAAGAAUUAUAUAGUCAGUCGGAAUAAUUAUUAAGUAAAAAUUUUUGUCCCAUGAUAUCCAUCUGAAACAAUAUUCAUGAUUGAUUGUGUUUUAAAUUUUGAGUGAAAUGUUUAUAAUUUAUUCAAUUAUGUACUUUUCUUAUUGCCCUAAAUUCUUCUUUCCAUAUUCUCUUCAUCUUGUAUUUUGAAGAUUAGCGUGCCCUUCCUGAAUCCAUGCUACAAAUUCCUAACAAACUUAAUGAUUUAACCACCUUGAUAUAUUUUGUUAGUAGGAAUCUUUCGUAGUGAUUCUUAAUGGUCUUUCUGGAAAGGGAGAAGAUUGCAAUACUCUAUUUUGGAUUACCUGGAGUAAUUGACCUGACAUGACAGGAGAAAUUGAUAAUAAGCAAGCUCAUUUGGUAAGAAAAGAGAUGGAAUUGAUAAUAAGUAAGCUCUUUUCGUAAGAAAAGAGAGAAUUGAUAAUAACUGUAGAAAAUUAAGAAUGCAAACUCUCCUAUUAUUACUGAACUGAUGUUAUCAUGACCAAUAGUCGACAGAGUAGAGGGUUGGGAUUCUCUUUUUGACUG
rnacentral:misc_RNA from 1 species